UAAAGGCCAUCAUUUUACUACAUUAUUGUAUAUAAUUACUUUUGAUCAUCCACAGAUUUGGACCAAACAGAUUUGGACCUUGAACCAAACCACAGCAGAUACCAAAGGUCUACUAUACUUUCCUGUUUCAUCACCAGCUCAGAGACUUGCACGAAACGGAUUCUGAGAAUAGAAAGGACAUGGAGCACCGCCCUCAGGAAGAGCUCGUCAAAUUCCACUUGGAGUUUCUCCACUGAGAAGGGGUGCAUUGGGUAGCCAUAGCCUUUGGCGUGGCUGACGUACUGGGCCCAGUGAUCGCUCACGUAGCAAAGCGUCAUCCUACGGGACCAGGGGAAGGUAAGGAAGAGAGAAGAAAAACAAAGUAAUGAAGUAGAAUCCAAACCAGUCUUCAGUGGAGCCAUAUUAGCCCAAUCUAGUCCUAUCCUCACGCUGAAACAGCACUGCAAUUGCCUGCCUGCAAGGUCCCAUUACAGGCCUCCAUAUUCACUAGGGUUAGGAGUCUAGACUCUCACAAAGAUGGAAAACUCAUGAAUAAAACAACUCUUUUUAUCUGAGCGAAAAUUUAGAAUCAUAAAGUUGGACUGGACCCCAAGGACCAUCCAGACCAAACCCCUGCCAUGCAGGAACACACAACCGAAGAACCCUUAGCACAGUGGUUCUCAACAUGGGGUUCCCCCAGGUGAUUUUGGCCUACAACUCCCAGAAAUCCCAGCCAGUUUACAAGCUGUUAAGAUUUCUGGAAGUUAAAGGCCAAAAACAUCUGGGGACCCUAGGUUGAGAACCACUGUGUUGUGACUGCGCCUUCGGGGAUUAUGGUUGAUGGUGAUGGAAUUCGAAGAGGAAGAAAAAACCCUCGUGAUGAGGGUUCACUGGAGGAGUUGCGCAGGAAGCGACUUAGAGAGCUAUAUGGGGGGAUCUUCUGAGGAAGAUUCAGAUGGGGAGAUGGAUGCUGAGGAACAGGUGGUGGCUGGGGAAGCGGACACUGAAUGGGCACAGCCACCGGAGAUGUCUGGGGAUUUGGGGCCUAUGGAUACUUCUGAACCUGGGGUUUCUGCAGGAGCUGAUCCCAAUUGGGAUGCUUGGAGAAGGGAGGAUGGUUCUUUAAGUGUUCAUGGGGCUAAGUGUGGGCAGGAUGAUUGGGACUCCGACGAAUUGCUAGGUACUCCAGAUCCACGAGCUCUAGCUGUGUGGAGUUCAGACUCUGAGUAGAUUUGGGACACCUGGUGUUUGGGUGUGAGUGUUUGGUCACCCAGGAGGAAGGGGAAUAAAAUGGGAAUGUUUGGCCACUGCACUUUGCGUGUGGCAAGGUGUUGCUGAGGCGCCAUUGGGAUCUCUGUGUUUCCAUGAAGACUGGACUUGGACUAUGAUUUGAAUCUGCUGAUAUCAUCUAGCUUGGCUCUCGCUGUGUCUUAUCGUGGACCUGUUUUGGAUGAUUGCACCCUCUUCGGACUUUGGAUUGAAUUUGACCUGGCUUCUGUCUACGCCCUCUGACUGACGGCUACUCCCGGCUUCUGACUAUUGGUUUGUCUUUCGGAAUUUCUGCUGCCUCCUGACCUGACCUUGGAUUCUUCUGACGACGGCUAUUCAUCAUCCCUUCGAGGCUCUCGGCUUAUCUGCACAGUGGAAGCAGCGUUAUUGCUUUUCUAGUUGGUUUAUUUUCCAGCAAUUAACUCUAUUUGUUUUCCAAAGCUGAAUUGAAGCGUUAUUUAGUUUUUUAUUGAAAAGUGAAGUGUUUCAAGGAUAUUUCCUGUGUUUAUGUUAUUUUUUGGCUUAUCUUCGGAAUAAACUUUGUUUUGUAUGUUAA